CGCCGUUCUCCACGUGCUCAAGGGCACCGCCGUUCUCCAGGUGCUCACGGGCACUGCCGUUCUCCAUGUACUAAAGGGCACCGCCGUUCUCCAUGUACUAAAGGGCACUGCAGUUCGCUGCAUGCUCAAGGGCACUGCUGCUCUCCACUCGUUCAAGGUCACCGCAGCUCUCCACGGCUUAACGGCACCACCGGUCUCCACGUGCAGCCAGGGCACCACCACUCUCCACCCGCUCAAGGUCACCGCUGCUCUCCACACUCAAGGUCACUGUCGCUCUCUGUGGCUCAAGGGGAUUGGGGGCUGCAGUCACUGUUCUGUCUCUACUGAUGGCCAGGCAGACACAUGGAAAAGUGAAGCAGCUUUUUAUGGAUGGAC
rnacentral:lncRNA from 1 species